rnacentral:rRNA from 1 species
UACGAAGGGGGCUAGCGUUGCUCGGAAUCACUGGGCGUAAAGGGUGCGUAGGCGGGUCUUUAAGUCAGGGGGUGAAAUCCCUGGAGCUCAACUCCAGAACUGCCUUUGAUACUGAGGAUCUUGAGUUCGGGAGAGGUGAGUGGAACUGCGAGUGUAGAGGUGAAAUGCGUAGAUAUCAGGAGGAACACCGGUGGCGAAGGCGGUUCUC